UUUCCCAGACAGACUCCAUAGGUCAGCGGUUGAAGGCUCUCAGGUCAUCUGACAUCGGCACCAUCAGUCAUGUGCAGAGGGGCCAUUCUCUGGAGUAGGACCCGCCCCCCCCCCAGUGACCAUACAAGGUAACAGAGGAAUGCAUGCCUUGGAAGUCCAUCUGCUUCAUAAAGACAACACGCAGAGGCCAGGAGGGUCUCACACUGAUGCUGAUCAGUUCUUUAGAGAAGCAAACGGGAAGAUCCGCCAAUGAGACCUUCACUCCGAGACCAUGACAUGAUGUCUCCAAACAAGAAUGCUGCCUGAUCAUUUACUCGCAGAUGGAUGGGAGCUUUCCCAAGAGGGCUUGCCAUGAAGAUGAGCUGACCUCCACUCACUGUUGGACACUCCACACUUUGAGUUAGAUGAGAUGUGCAUGUAAGCAGAUACUAGGUGAGUAUCAUACACACAGACACAUACGUACGUUUGCACUUGUAACGCUAUCAUUUUUAAGAUGUCAAAUUCUCCUCAGAGCAAUUGAGUAACAUUAUCUGAAAACUUGUCUAUGUGUGUGUAACAUGAGAGAGAACAGCAGAGGAAGUUUGAAUUAUGAUGGUCCACUGAGGGUUUCAGUCAUUUCCUGUUUACCCCUCCCACGUAAAAGUGUCUUUGCAGUUUGAAUUUGCUCUUUCUCUCUCUCUCGCUCUCUCUUUAUCUCUCCAUCUCUCCCCUCCCUCCCUCCCUCUCUCUCUCUCUCUCUCUCUCGCUCUCUCGCUCUCUCGUUCUCUUGCCCUCUCUCUCUCUCUCGCCCU